CAGAUAUUUUUAUUGAAUUCAAAUUCCACCAUCUGUCGUGGCAGGAUUUGAACCCAGGUUGUUAUCUUGCUCUCGGGAUUAACAGUCCAGCGAUAAUACCACUCGGCCAUUGCCUCCCAACCUGCGAAAGAAAAUGGGCACCACCAUCAAAGCCAGAAUUUAUUGCAUUUGAGACAACUGAAUUGCUUCCUCAGCCAUUUUAAGGAUGGUGAGGAGUCAAAUAUGUUGCUUUGGAUUUUGAGUCACACAGAUCAGACCAGUGUAAGUGAAAAGACAAAAGAAGAAACUUGAGAAUUCUAACCCAAGAAAAGACCUAGUUGUACCUGAUCAAUCAUCAAAUUGAAAAAUUACCAUUACUCUGCAGGCAACUGUAUGUGAUCAUUGCUAAAAUUAAAAGAAUUAAGGCAGACAGUUUAAUUUACUGGAGAUCUGGACUUUUGAUCUUCAAAUUUUUGUUUUCAAAGUCUAUAGUUUUCCACCCAUAAUAUUUAUGUCAACUGUCUACCUUCUGUCUGUCUUAUUUGUGAAUAGGUGUGUGUGUGUUUGGGGGCUUCAAAGCUGUACAGUUUAAUUUGCAAAGUAGUAUAUUAGGAUUAGUAACUUCUCUCUGCCAUUUAUUAAAGAAUUAGUGAAUUUCCAAUAAUUAGUUAUUUCCUUGUUAAUAACAGCCUGGUUAGAAUGACUUCUGACUGGAAAAGCAGCCAAUUUAAAAAAAAAAUCACCUUUGUGAUUUAAGUUGGGUAUUUACACAUCUGUGAUGGCUUGUGGAUUAGUGGAGCUGAAUUAUUGGAGGACUCUUCCUAGUUAGUUUGUAAAAUUUAAGAUGAGUGAUUUACUCUGCAUCUGAAGCCCUCAAAGUUUCCAAUUCUGAGGUAUAUUCAGUCUUCACAAGUACCAACUCAUUCUCCCAACUAGUUACUUGGGAGAUGCGACAGAUUAAAACCAGUUCUCACUCACUGGUAACUAUACAAUUGAUAACCUCAAUUUAUCGCUACAACGUCAAUACACCGUCGACCACUGUCCCCAAAACCUCAACUACCUCCCCCAAUCCAGCCUGAGACUACACCUCCUGCACCUGUGCAGAUGCACUGUCAGUGCCUGUGGCUUUGCAGUUAAUUAUAUCACAGACAGCUGCCUGCAUUAAAGGUGACAAAAAUUGAAAAAAGACUUGAAAGAAGACCCUACUAAUUUGGUGCCCUUCUGCUUGCCCCAUUCCUCUUGCCACACUCUUCCACUUUCCCUUGUCACUGGAGACCUUAUUCUUUCCCUUCCACAGUCUCUCGCCACUCUCUUCACCUCCUCCCAUUUCCUACUACUUGUUCUUCCAAUCUGUUCCAAACAGGGACAAGAGGUGAAGGAAUUAGAUGGCAAUAAGUGGCAGAAAAAGGAGCAAAUAAGGAUCCUGUUGGGCACAGAAAAGUAAUAAAUGGAACAGUGAGAAAGAGGGCAAGUGAGCUUGAGAGACUAGGCAGUCAGCAGGAGUGACCAAAGGCUGGAACAUUUCAAGAAGUGAAUAGAGCACUACCAUAGUGAUACAAGUAACUGGAGAAACUGCACAUACACUCAUGACAGUAUGGGAGUUGGCUUAAAAGCAAAGUACUGCGGAUGCUGGAGAUUUGAAAUUGCUGAAGAA